rnacentral:rRNA from 1 species
UAGAUUCCCAACACUUUCCCUAGUACUAGAGGAUCGUGAAGGACACAUCUCUAGUGUACUAGUUAUCGUGCCCAUGAUAAACGUUGGGUAGUCAAGUGGAAGUGUAGUGAUGUAUCUAAGUAGUAAGCCCACCCUAAGAUGAGUGCUCUCAUAUUUUGACUUCCCCAGAGCUUUCAGUAACACAACAGAGAUAGUAAUAGGUUUUCUACCCAUAGGAGGAUCAAGCGAUAAAAGUUUUGAGAAUUUAAGAGAAGGUCACGACGAGACGAGCCUUUUAUCAUUACGAUCGGUGUCAAGUGGAAGUGUAGUGAUGUAUGUAGUUGAGGCAUCCUAAUAGACUGG